ACACUCCUACGGGAGGCAGCAGUGGGGAAUUUUGGACAAUGGGCGAAAGCCUGAUCCAGCAAUGCCGCGUGUGUGAAGAAGGCCUUCGGGUUGUAAAGCACUUUUGUCCGGAAAGAAAUCCUUGGCUCUAAUACAGUCGGGGGAUGACGGUACCGGAAGAAUAAGCACCGGCUAACUACGUGCCAGCAGCCGCGGUAAUACGUAGGGUGCGAGCGUUAAUCGGAAUUACUGGGCGUAAAGCGUGCGCAGGCGGUUUGCUAAGACCGAUGUGAAAUCCCCGGGCUCAACCUGGGAACUGCAUUGGUGACUGGCAGGCUAGAGUAUGGCAGAGGGGGGUAGAAUUCCACGUGUAGCAGUGAAAUGCGUAGAGAUGUGGAGGAAUACCGAUGGCGAAGGCAGCCCCCUGGGCCAAUACUGACGCUCAUGCACGAAAGCGUGGGGAGCAAACAGGAUUAGAUACCCGUGUAGUCCC
rnacentral:rRNA from 1 species